UACAGAGGGUGCAAGCGUUAAUCGGAAUUACUGGGCGUAAAGGGCUCGUAGGCGGCCAACUAAGUCAGACGUGAAAUCCCUCGGCUUAACCGGGGAACUGCGUCUGAUACUGGAUGGCUUGAGUUUGGGAGAGGGAUGCGGAAUUCCAGGUGUAGCGGUGAAAUGCGUAGAUAUCUGGAGGAACACCGGUGGCGAAGGCGGCAUCCUGGACCAACACUGACGCUGAGGAGCGAAAGCGUGGGGAGCGAACAGG
rnacentral:rRNA from 1 species